rnacentral:rRNA from 1 species
GACGAACGCUGGCGGCGUGCUUAACACAUGCAAGUCGAACGCUGAAGACCUGGCUUUUGUUGGGUUGGAUGAGUGGCGAACGGGUGAGUAACACGUGAGUAACCUGCCCUCUUCUUUGGGAUAACGCCCGGAAACGGGUGCUAAUACUGGAUAUUCACUGAUCUUCGCAUGGGGGUUGGUGGAAAGGUUUGUUCUGGUGGGGGAUGGGCUCGCGGCCUAUCAGCUUGUUGGUGGGGUGAUGGCCUACCAAGGCUUUGACGGGUAGCCGGCCUGAGAGGGUGACCGGUCACAUUGGGACUGAGAUACGGCCCAGACGCCUACGGGAGGCAGCAGUGGGGAAGAUUGCACAAUGGGCGAAAGCCUGAUGCAGCGACGCCGCGUGAGGGAUGGAGGCCUUCGGGUUGUAAACCUCUUUCGCUCAUGGUCAAGCCGCAACUGUGGGUUGUGGUGAGGGUAGUGGGUAAAGAAGCGCCGGCUAACUACGUG